rnacentral:rRNA from 1 species
AGGGUUUGAUCAUGGCUCAGAUUGAACGCUAGCGGGAUGCUUUACACAUGCAAGUCGAACGGCAGCACGGACUUCGGUCUGGUGGCGAGUGGCGAACGGGUGAGUAAUGUAUCGGAACGUGCCUAGUAGCGGGGAUAACUACGCGAAAGCGUAGCUAAUACCGCAUACGCCCUUCGGGGGAAAGCGGGGGACCUUUCGGGCCUGCACUAUUGGAGCGGCCGGAUAUCGGAUUAGCUAGUUGGUGGGGUAAACGGCUCACCAAGGCGACGAUCCGUAGCUGGUUUGAGAGGACGACCAGCCACACUGGGACUGAGACACGCUCCAGACUUACGGGAGGCAGCAGUGGGGAAUUUUGACAAUGGGGAAACCCCUGAUCCAGCCAUCCUGGCAAAUCUGCGAUGAAGGCCUUCGGGUUGUAAAGCACUUUUGGCAGGAAAGAAACGGCACGGAUAAUACCCCGUGCAACUGACGGUACAGAAUAAGCACCGGCUAACUACGUGCCAGCAGCCGCGGUAAUGCCGUAGGGUGCAAGCGUUAAUCGGAAUUACUGGGCGUAAAGCGUGCGCAGGCGGUUCGGAAAGAAAGAUGUGAAAUCCCAGAGCUUAACUUUGAACUGCAUUUUUAACUACCGAGCUGAGUGACAGGGUGGAAUUCCAGUAAGAAAUGCAGAAGGGUGCGGAGGAAACAGCCGGCAAAGGUGUCUCCUGAGAUAACACUGACGCUCGCUGCACGGUGCGCAUAACAGGAUUGAUACCCGGUAGUCCGCUGCUGUAAACGAUGGCUGACUAGCCGGUUGGCAUCUUCGGUCACCGGUGAACAGCAGCGCUAAUGCGAACAUCGCGCUCCGGGAGUGCCGUUUCUGCGAUAAAUCUCAAAGUAAUUGACAGACCUGCCAAAGUGAGUGGAUGAUGUAGGAUGAAUUCAUGCAACGCUUGUUCUGCCCGCCUUACAUAACUGGAAUCCUGAAGAGAUUUGGGGUGCUCGCAAGAGAACCGGAACACAGGUGCUGCAUGGCUGCCGUCAGCUCGUGUCGCAGGAUGUUGGGUUAAGUCCCGCAACGAGCGCAACCCUUGUCAUUAGUUGCUACGAAAGGGCACUCUAAUGAGACUGCCGGUGACAAACCGGAGGAAGGUGGGGAUGACGUCAAGUCCUCAUGGCCCUUAUGGGUAGGGCUUCACACGUCAUACAAUGGUCGGGACAGGGUCGCCAACCCGCGAGGGGGAGCCAAUCCCAGAAACCCGAUCGCAGUCCGGAUCGCAGUCUGCAACCUGACUGCGUGAAGUCGGAAUCGCUAGUAAUCGCGGAUCAGCAUGUCGCGGUGAAUACGUUCCCGGGUCUUGUACACAUACCGCCCGUCACACCAUGGAGUGGGUUUGCCCAGAAGUGUUGGGGCCUAACCGUAAGGAGGGCGAUUACCACGGUAGGAUUCAUGACUGGGGUGAAGUCGUAACAAGGUAG